CACUGAUAAGGCUGUUUUGUCCCAUUCCUUAUGUGAGAAGUGAAGAAGCUACAGUGCAGUCCUAGUGUGCAGCAGAGCCUUGGAGUGUUUCAUACCACUCUCUUCAAGUUCAUUUUAAAGUAUUUGGUUAUAAUCUGUGAUGUUACGUAUUUGUGGAUCUAUUGUGAAGAAUUUAAACUCAAGUACAUGAAAGCAAGGCAAUACAGGCCUUCCAGAAGUUGAGCCAAAGCCAUGAGCUCCUUCAGCAGGGCUGGCCCAAAAGGCCAUGUGCAGAGGUGUCUGUUCCAUGAAAGGGAGGAUGGUGUGUAAAUUAGGGUGGGCUGAAAACCUGUAUUUAACCCCAGCUAAUGGCGGUGCAUAGCAGCAUAGGGGGAAUAGAUUAGAACAAGGGAAAUUUUGGGGGAAGGUUGUAGCCCUGUUAUGAAGAGCCGGACUGUGCAGCAUGCAGCCAGGUCCAUCCAGUGAUGAAAGAGCUGGUCUAUCCUCAUGGUGACAGUGGUGACAGCUCCAUGGAAGAGAGCAGUAGGUACUGAUGCUUCUCUUUUCCACAGUGGUUGUUUUUCCAGGUGGUACUUUUGUUUUAGUUGGUAAAUUGCUUAGGUUGGUGGUUGCUGCACAGAUAGUGAUGCAGGGAUAGUGAGGGGGAAGCACCUCAGCAACUGCAUGAGGGUCAUAAAGGGCAGGGAAGGGCUGCAUGGAAGAUGGAAAGGAUUUACUGUGUACACUGAGCUCACUUGAAUUGAGUCUGCCAACAGAUCCAAGGUUGAUUCUGACAGGGAUGUCCAACUUCUGCCAGUAGAACAGCUGCAUUUGGAAGAUGUUCCUCCAUUGCCUGGUGCUUCGGAUGCCAACUGUGAGGUCUGAAUGUUGCCUUGCUGUCUGUGUGACCCUACUAGAGAAGACAAAUUCACAGAGCAGCUGGAAGAGUACAUGCUAUGGUCACCCUACGUGCUGGCAGUUAAGGCAGUACCAAUAAGAAGACAUUUACUUUGCAAUAAGUGAUGUAAGAAGUGGCCCAGCAGGGAGUUACAUGUUGGGUAAGUACCUCUGUGAUUUUCUCUGACUUGUUUGUAAGUGCACUCACAGUUUUGUUAUGAGCAUAUUGUAAUCUUCUAUCAUUAUCUCAUUCUAAAAUAAUUUGGAAGUAUUUGGGGAAUGUUUGUGGAAAAUACUUGGUUACAGUAAUGGGUCAUCAAGUCCUUUACUUAACCACUGAGCACCUCCAUCAAGGUCUCUUCCUUCACACUACUACUUUGCAUUUCAGAGUUGUUCACAGCAGAUCAAGUGAAGGAGCUGCAGGUUAAUUCAAUUUCUACACUGUGUGAGCUUGGAACUCCUUUAAGAUGACAGUACACAUUUUUUCAUGCAUUCUGUAACCUAGAUCCUUGUCUCUAGGCACAGGUGGAUAUCACUGCCAUGUCACACAUCCACCUAACAGGUAGUACGUGGCAAUAUUACUAAAUUAAGUUUUUAUUAUUUUGCCAAUUCAACUUUGUCUUCUCACCAAAUAAAAAACAAGAAUAUUUUCA
rnacentral:lncRNA from 1 species